rnacentral:lncRNA from 1 species
UGGGCUUAUCAAUAAUAAUUUCAAUUUUUUUCAGUAUAAUUUCUGUUGCUCAAAAGUAUGUGCGUAGAGUAUUUCUUCUUAUAUAUGGAUUAAGUGGAUUUUGAUGUUCAUUUGUCUGUGUGUUGGUUGCUUUCUGCCCUUUUGCUUCUCAAGAAACCGAAUGCAGGUUCCUUUUUCAUUUCUUAUUUACAUACCCUUUUAAUGAAUGUCCAUAAUUUAGGCUUUUGAUUUCUGGCUGUGAAUGUGUGAUUUGAUGAUCAAGCUAAACUGCAUUUGUAGUUUAGCAGUAGGUUAUGAGGUGGUGGACUACUCUUGGGAACUUGCAUAAUACUGAGUGGGGUAUUCUGCUAUCGUUUUCUUCAUGUUUCAGGCAGUUGCUACUUUAGGGACUUACGGCAGCAUUAGAGAUGGGAAAGAAGGUGAUAUGUCAAAGGUAAUUUCAUUAUUCGUUCAAUUUUGAUGGUGGUCCUUAUCUUUAGUUAUGUUUAUUUUCUAUGUUGUAUAUAUCCAUGUACAUAUGCGCGUGUGUGUGUAGAUUGAUCAUCUAACAAAAAAACAUGCUAAAACUAUAGAAAAUGAAAAUUAUGUAUUAUUGUGUAAAGGUGCUGCCUUUCUAUUUUUUUUGUAGUAUACUACUUUUAUUGUGCUGGGCACCAUUCUCUUUCAUUCAUAAGUCAUUUGCACACAACAAUUUAGAACAUUUUAUGUGUAAAUUUCCAAAAUCAUGGUACUGUUGAUGGUUGCUCUCUAAGCUGCGAAAUCAGGUAUAAGAAAAUCUUA